CCCAGUGUGGACAACUGGAGGAUGAGGACCCCAAGACACAACAAAGCCUAAGCUCACUGUUUUAUCUGGAUGCAGAAAGAAAGGUCCCUUGGCCUGUAAAUCAAUGGUUUCGUACUGAGAAAAGAAAAAGGAAACAUCACAACAAGGAUGGAUAAACCUCACUGAAAUCACUGUUCUGAGACUGCAGGCACAGCUAUUGAGGACAGCCCAGAUGCCAGCCAGGUCUCAUUUCCAAAGCACAGAGUGGAUUAAAAGUAAAAUACAACCAAAAAGAAGAUCUGGAAAUCUGAAAAUAUGGAAGCAGAAUAAUAAUCCAGCAAAGAACGGAGGAUUCCUGCUGCUUCCCAGCAGUGCUGCCCCUAAAGUGACUUAAAGGAAAAGAUUCAUCAAGGAGGGGAAGC